UUUAAUAAAUAAUAAUAAUAAUAAUAAUAGUGAUAUACACAAAUAAAAUUAAGAAAAAGAAAGAAAAGAAGAAAAAAAAGGAAAGGGGCUCAAUUUAUGCUAGAUUGAGGGAUUUUUUAUUUAAAAAAAAUUAUCACUCCCUGCCCCCUGACACGUGAUAGGGGAGAAAGAGUCAAAGUACAAAAUUUAUUUCUUCUUCAUCUCCCUCGUGUCUAAUACAACAGCAAACAACAACUUUUUUUCUCUAAAAAAAAUUGAAUCUUCC
rnacentral:lncRNA from 1 species